AGGAUAAGAGUUUACCAAAACAUAUAAAUUGCAAUUAUAAAAUAAACUAUCUAGUUUUUAUCUCA
rnacentral:tRNA from 1 species